rnacentral:misc_RNA from 1 species
UUUCCGUAGGGGAACCUGCGGAAGGAUCAUUAUUGUUCAAAGUGUGAGUAGCGUGCGAGGACUGUCGCUGACACAAAACUCGUGCACACCCGAGUGUGUCUUCUUGCCUGCUAAUCCACCACACCCCUUGUGGUUACCUGCGGGGGCUAUAUCCGGGCUCAUCUCGAGUGAUGUUGUCUGUUUUCUCUUAUAAAUCCCUUUUAAAAAUAUACAAUUACCAACAACAUACCAUUAAUCCAACUUUCAACAACGGAACGCUUGGCUCCCGCAUCGCACAAG